UCUUUUCUGCGUUGUGCGUGAACCACCGGGUAUUUUCUUGAGCCUAAUGUGUACCCGGGGAAUAUUUCGCUGUAGUUGUGUGCAUGUCUGUUCAUCAGAAAGCCUGAUACUGCAGCUACUGUUCCCACUUGAACCAACCGGUUCAAGAACAAUGGUGGCAACGGCAACGCGGUAAGGCC
rnacentral:other from 1 species